rnacentral:ncRNA from 1 species
CUUAACUUUACAACCGAGGAUGGGAAUGAUGGAACCAAGUAUCUCGAAACCAUCCCGCCAAUACUCCUGCGCGCGUCAUGUUUAACAGAACAUGAGGUGUGAAGUACAGGUAGAUUCGGCAGAACGAAGGCUGGAGCCAUUCUAAUAGAAAAGGUAUGCCAAUGGAUAUGCCGCGCGGCUGAAAA